CCAAGCUGAAUUGAAAAUUAUAAAACUAAAGAAUUAAAUUCGUAGAUAUGUUAUGGGUGCGAUUCGAUUUCAAACAAUUAUUGCAUGUUGGCCAAUUGGUCCUAGGCUUCGGUUUGGUUGUUUGACAUGGCGGAUAUUAUAUCUAAAGAACUUGUCCAUCAGAUUAGUCAGACUUUUUUUUUUUUUUUUUUUGUGAAACAGAUUAGUCAGACUUGUUUGGGUUAUUAACCUCUAACCUUGAUUUGGAUCAUUGAUACUAUAAAAGUGCUAGUCCACUAUAUAAGAAGCUACGAGUUUCCACAAUGUAUAAUAACUGUAGAAAACUAAAUGCUGUUUAUAGUAAUAGUCCAACAAAAGGCCCCGAAUAUCAUAAUGUAAGUCGUAAAACAAACAGUUAAGUCUUAAAUUCAUUUACUAUAAAGUCAAAAACAAAUUCAAAAGGCGUAGUUUCUACGCUCGUUUCUUUCUUUUUAGCAUGGGAACCUGAUCAGUCAUCAACAUGAAAUCGACAAUUGGUAUACAUAUUCGUUUUUUUUUAAUUCUUUAUCUCUAUUUUUCCUCAUUUGUCAACUUCUAAGGUGCAUCAUUUAUCGUGCAACAUAUCAAACAUUUGAUGAGACGGAUUCGCUUGCAAUCUGGUAGUGUUAAUUUUUUCCGACAUCAAUCUGGUAUUGUUAGCCAGCUGAUUUUGGAUUUAAAUAAAGUAUACAUAAUAGACUUAUGUAGAUUAAGAUAUAAGUUUUGAACCCACAUAGAAGAUACACAGAUUACAAGUUUGUAGUUGCACAAAAGAAAAGAUUACAAGUUUGUCAGCAAAUUGUGACAUCAAACAAAAACGCGAAGGGCCUGCUUUUUGUAAAGCAACCUAUAAUUUCCCACUAGAAUAUCAUGUUCUCUGGUGUGCAGGAGGUACUUUUUUCUUUUCAGUUUCAAAUUUUCUUCUUCUUUUUAUUCCAAAUUGUAAUAAUGAUUCUUGUUUCACUAUAUAAGUGAUUUUUGUAUCUAAUUGUGCACACAUUGUUCUCUUUCAAA
rnacentral:lncRNA from 1 species